rnacentral:sRNA from 2 species
ACUUCGUUCGGGACGAAGGGGUCGGAGGUUCGACUCGAGCGAAGCGAGAGAACGUUGCGUCAGCAACGGCCCGCAGGGCGAGCCACGCAGUGGCGAGUCAUCCUCUAUCACCGACCA